rnacentral:lncRNA from 1 species
CUGACACCAGAGGACUUCAUAUAACAUUGCAGCAUUAACAUCUUCACUGGCAGGUUCAUGGACUUUCCCCCUCCUGAAUGAGUUGGGCAGGUGAAAUAUCCACCGUCUUUCUUGACCUGAAUCAAGCUCAGAGUGACAGUGUUUAA